rnacentral:rRNA from 1 species
AUGGAAUGACCCUUCGGGGGAAUGAAAUCCUAGAAAGUGGCGAACGGGUGAGUAACGCGUGGGUAACCUGCCCUAUGGAAAGGAAUAGCCUCGGGAAACUGGGAGUAAUGCCUUAUAAUAUACGAGAGUCGCAUGGCUUUUGUAUUAAACGCUCCGGUGCCAUAGGAUGGACCCGCGUCCCAUUAGCUAGUUGGUGAGAUAACAGCCCACCAAGGCAACGAUGGGUAACCGGUCUGAGAGGGCGAACGGUCACACUGGAACUGAGACACGGUCCAGACUCCUACGGGAGGCAGCAGUGGGGAAUAUUGCGCAAUGGGGGCAACCCUGACGCAGCAAUACCGCGUGAGUGAAGAAGGUUUUCGGAUCGUAAAGCUCUGUUAUUGGGGAAGAAAAAAGACGGUACCCAAGAAGAAAGUCCCGGCUAACUACGUGCC